GAUUGAACGCUGGCGGCAUGCUUUACACAUGCAAGUCGAACGACAGCGCGGGCUUCGGCCUGGCGGCGAGUGGCGAACGGGUGAGUAAUACAUCGGAACGUGCCCAGUAGUGGGGGAUAGCUCGGCGAAAGCCGGAUUAAUACCGCAUACGACCUGAGGGUGAAAGCGGGGGAUCUUCGGACCUCGCGCUAUUGGAGCGGCCGAUGGCAGAUUAGCUAGUUGGUGGGGUAAAGGCCUACCAAGGCGACGAUCUGUAGCUGGUCUGAGAGGACGACCAGCCACACUGGGACUGAGACACGGCCCAGACUCCUACGGGAGGCAGCAGUGGGGAAUUUUGGACAAUGGGCGAAAGCCUGAUCCAGCAAUGCCGCGUGUGUGAUGAAGGCCUUCGGGUUGUAAAGCACUUUUGGCGGGAACGAAAAGGACUGUGCCAAUACCACGGUUCGAUGACGGCACCCGCAGAAUAAGCACCGACUAACUACGUG
rnacentral:rRNA from 1 species